UCUUUGAACGCAACUUGCGCUCUCUGGUAUUCCGGAGAGCAUGCCUGUUUGAGUGUCAUGAAAUCUCAACCAUUAGGGUUUCUUAAUGGCUUGGAUUUGGAGGUUGCCAUUCUAAAUGGCUCCUCUUAAAGGAGUUAGCAGGUUUUACUAUUGCUAUCUGGCGUAAUAAGUUUCGCUGGAAUGGUAUUGUGAAGCGUGCUUCUAAUCGUCUUCGGACAAUUACUUUGACUCUGGCCUCAAAUCAGGUAGGACUACCCGCUGAACUUAAGCAUAUCAAUAAGCGGAGGAAAAGAAACUAACAAGGAUUCCCUUAGUAACGGCGAGUGAACCGGGAAGAGCUCAAAUUUGUAAUCUGGCUGUCUUCGAUAGUCCGAGUUGUAAUCUAUAGAAGCGUUUUCCGUGCUGAACUGUGUAUAAGUCCCUUGGAACAGGGUAUCAAAGAGGGUGACAAUCCCGUACUUUACACAAUCAUCAGUGCUCUGUGAUACGUUCUCUACGAGUCGAGUUGUUUGGGAAUGCAGCUCAAAAUGGGUGGUAAAUUCCAUCUAAAGCUAAAUAUUGGCGAGAGACCGAUAGCGAACAAGUACCGUGAGGGAAAGAUGAAAAGCACUUUGGAAAGAGAGUUAAACAGUACGUGAAAUUGUUAAAAGGGAAACGAUUGAAGUCAGUCGUGUUUAUUGGAUUCAGCCGGUCUUCGGUGUACUUCCUUUAAACGGGUCAACAUCAGUUUUGUUCGGUGGAUAAAGGUAUUAGGAAUGUGGCUUCUUCGGAAGUGUUAUAGCCUAGUAUUGCAUACACUGGAGGAGACUGAGGACUGCAGCUCGCC
rnacentral:rRNA from 1 species